UACAUGGGGUGCAAACGUUGCUCGGAAUUACUGGGCGUAAAGCGCACGUAGGCGGAUUGUUAAGUCGGGGGUGAAAUCCUGGAGCUCAACUCCAGAACUGCCUUCGAUACUGGCGAUCUCGAGUUCGGGAGAGGUGAGUGGAACUGCGAGUGUAGAGGUGAAAUUCGUAGAUAUUCGCAAGAACACCAGUGGCGAAGGCGGCUCACUGGCCCGAUACUGACGCUGAGGUGCGAAAGCGUGGGGAGCAAACAGG
rnacentral:rRNA from 1 species